rnacentral:pre_miRNA from 1 species
ACCCUGUAGAUCCGAAUUUGCCUCAAAAGUUUAAUUACAAAUUCGGUUCUAGAGAGGUUA